rnacentral:sRNA from 1 species
AUAUGGAGACAUGCAUUCUAUGACAUGAGACCAUCCUUAUUGCAAGUCUCUUACUACAAAUCUUAGGUGUAAUUAAUCAUAAUAAUAUGUGAAUAGUUUAGAAGUGUUUCUUAGAUAAGAGAUAAAAGUAGGUAUAAGAGCUUCAAACCAUUACAAAAACUCUUAGCUAUAAUUUUUUUCAAUAAAACAAUUCAUCAAAAUAGU